GAGCCACGCCCCCUGGCUGAACCGUUGUCCAAUGAGAAGCCGAGGUCUCCAGGUGGCCGAGGCCGUCGUCCAAUCAGGAUCUUCGGCACCCACGACGGCCGAGCCCCUCGUCCAAUGGCAAGGAGCCGCCCCAAGGGGCCAUCCAAUCAGCUGGCUGCCCAAAUCCAUCGGCCAAUCACAAGGGGCAGCGUUCCAGUUGGCCAAACCCAUCAGCCAAUCACAAGCCACGGCGUUGCAGGUCGCCAAACCCAUCGGCCAAUGACGGUUGGCCAAACCCCGCAGUCAACGUCUGAUUGGCCGAACCAUGAGCCAGCGGUGAGCCACGGCGUUCUGAUUGGCUAAACCCAUCAGUCGAUGACCAAUCGCGGCGCUCCAGUUGGCCAAACUGAUUGGACAACGUUCUUUUGGCCAAAUCUAUCAGCCAAUGACCAACCGAGGUGUCCCAGUUGGCCAAAUCCAGUGGCCAAUGAUGAAUCACGGCGUUCCAGUUGGCCAAACCCAUCAACCAGUGACAAACGAUGGUGUUCCAGUUGGCCAAACCCAUCAGCCAAUGACUAAAAAUGGUGUUCCCAACAGCCAAACCCAUCGCCCAAUGUUCUGUUGGCCAAAUCCAUCAACCGAUGUCCAACCACAGCAUCCCAGUUGGCUGAACCCAUCAACCAGUGACGAAUGAUGGCAUUCCAGUUGGCCAAACCCAUUGGACAAUGUUCCGUUGGCCAAACCCUUCAGUCAAUCACAAGCCACGGCGUACCAGUUGGCCAAAUCCAUCGGUCGAUGGCCAACCACAGCGUCCCAGUUGGCCAAACCCAUUGCCCAAUGUCCAGUUGACCAAACCUUUCAGUCCAUGACCAACCACAGUGUCCCAGUUGGCCAAACCCAUCAACCAAUAACCAAUCACGGCGUUCCAGUUGGCCAAACCCAUCAACCAAUGACGAUCAAUGGUGUUCCAGUUGGCCAAACCCAUCGCCCAAUGUUCCGUUGGCCAAACCCAUCAGUUGAAGACCAACCAGAUUGUUCCAGUUGGCCAAAUCCUUCAGUCAAUGACCAACCACGGUGUUCCAGUUGGCCAAAUCCAUCGCCCAAUGUUCCAUUGGCCAAACCCAUCAACUGAUGGCCAACCACAGCGUCCCAGUUGGCCGCCCCCACCAGCCAACAUCCAGUUGGCCACGCCAUCAUCCUGCCGACCAAGCACCGCUCUCCAGUUGCCCGAGCCCACCCCCCAGCGGCCCCCCUCACCCUGAUGUCACCGCCCCGAAGCCGGGCCGUCCCCCGGCAGCACCGAACCCCGGCUGCCGAGAGCGCGGGCGCCCACCCUGAGCGGUGCCGGGGCACGAUGGAGGGGGGUGGGCCGGGCGCCCGCCGCGCAACUCAAUGCACCAAGACCUUGAU
rnacentral:lncRNA from 1 species